AAUCCAAACCCAUCGAUUAUUGGUAAACUUGAGCUAUUUUUACAUACUUUAAAUUUAUCGUGUAGAGGUUUGAAACGCGCGCCAUUUUUGCGAAUUUUUGCUUAGUAAAGAAUUUUAAUUAAAAUUUGCUUAAUCGGUCGAAUUCGGAACAUCGAAUAGUUGCAGGAUUCCCUAGUCGAGGUGGACCCAAUGCCCGCCGAUCUUGUGCGGCGUUUUGUACCGAUGCUGAACCUCCUGUGACGGAUCUGUUUGAUGCUAAGUAUCCGGAUAAGGUGGUGGCCAUCUUCGCAGAAAUCACCUGAAAAUCCCUUCCAUCCACAGCAGCACCAGAAGCUGUAGGAGCAUGCCUCGAUGGUGGUGGUAUUCGUCGAACGAAAUUACUUUUCCACAUCUCCGGUGAAACGAUGGAUGGCAAGGAUGUUGAGGCUGGUUGAUAUGCCACACGCAUAGCCAGAUGACCGCCAACUUCGACAUCAUGAGUAACUUGCUACGAGUUGGUGCUUCGCUGACUGUCCAUCACCUACACCGUCACCGAAGCCGAGCAGGACAUCAGACUGAAGUGCCUGGAAGCCGAUGCCACUACACAUCUUUCAGAAACAUCCUCCGGGUUCUGAAUGAGUUGCAGGCCACCGAAGCGGUAAUGCAUGUUCUGCAGGGUGCUUGCGGUAAAAGCGUGGUCACCGAAAACGGAGGCGGACGAUGGUGGCGAUGUAAAAGUUGCUCCCACAUCUGAAAUGGGAAACAGGAUUGCCGAAGGGUAUCACCUCCAUCGAGUAUUAAGCAAAUUCUUGCUCGACCAAGUGCAAAGAAAAGAUACGAAUUUGAGGCGCUCAUCGAUGAAAUAAUUGGUGGUUGCUCGUACCAAAGGCCUGAAUCUUCCAGCACAUGACUAUGGAUUGUUUGGGUUCAUCGUUGGAGGUGACGCCGAAAAAGUCCGUAGUCAAAAAUGCCAUCAAAGUAUUCGAUGGGCUGAGUUUCAGCAACAACCUUGUUAUAAAAGGCUG